rnacentral:rRNA from 1 species
GACGAACGCUGGCGGCGUGCUUAACACAUGCAAGUCGAACGGAAAGGCCCUGCUUUUGUGGGGUGCUCGAGUGGCGAACGGGUGAGUAACACGUGAGUAACCUGCCCUUGACUUUGGGAUAACUUCAGGAAACUGGGGCUAAUACCGGAUAGGAGCUCCUGCUGCAUGGUGGGGGUUGGAAAGUUUCGGCGGUUGGGGAUGGACUCGCGGCUUAUCAGCUUGUUGGUGGGGUAGUGGCUUACCAAGGCUUUGACGGGUAGCCGGCCUGAGAGGGUGACCGGCCACAUUGGGACUGAGAUACGGCACAGACUACUCCGGGAGGCAGCAGUGGGGAAUAUUGCACAGUGGGAGGAAGCCUGAUGCAGCCACGCCGCGUGCGGGAUGACGGCCUUCGGGUUGUAAACCGCUUUCGCCUGUGACGAAGCGUGAGUGACGGUAAUGGGUAAAGAAGCACCGGCUAACUACGUG